rnacentral:rRNA from 1 species
AUUGAACGCUGGCGGCAGGCCUAACACAUGCAAGUCGAGCGGAGCGGCGGACGGGUGCGUAAUGGCUAGGUAUCUGCCUGGUAGUGGGGGAUAACGUCCGGAAACGGGCGCUAAUACCGCAUACUAUCAGAUGAGCCUAGGUCGGAUUAGCUAGUUGGUGGGGUAAAGGCCUACCAAGGCGACGACACGUAACUGGUCUGUGAGGAUGAGCAGUCACUCUGCAACUGCUCCACGGUCCACACUCCUACGGGAGGCAUCAGUGGGUAAUAUUGGACGAUGUGCGAAAGCCUGAUCCAGCCAUGCCGCGUGUGUGAGGAAGGUCUUCGGAUUGUAAAGCACUUUAAGUUGGGAGGCGUUACCUACAGAAUAGGCACCGGCUAACUUCGUGCCAGCAGCGGCGGUAAUAC